rnacentral:rRNA from 1 species
UACAGGGGGUGCAAACGUUGCUCGGAAUCAUUGGGCGUAAAGCGCACGUAGGCGGUUCGUUAUGUCGGAUGUGAAAGCCCUUGGCUUAACCGAGGAAGUGCAUCCGAAACUGGCGAGCUAGAGUACUAAAGAGGAUCGCGGAAUUCCCGGUGUAGAGGUGAAAUGCGCAGAUAUCGGGAAGAACACCCGUGGCGAAGGCGGCUCUCUGGGACGGUACUGACGCUGAGACGCGAAAGCGUGGGGAGCGAACAGG